CCUACGGGGGGCAGCAGUGGGGGAUAUUGGACAAUGGGGGAAACCCUGAUCCAGCGACGCCGCGUGAGUGAAGAAGUAUUUCGGUAUGUAAAGCCCUAUCAGCAGGGAAGAAAAUAAUGACGGUAGCUGAGUAAGAAGCAGCGGCUAACUACGGGCCAGCAGCCGCGGUAAUAAGUAGGGGGCAAGCGUCAUCCGGAAUUACUGGUGGUAAAGGGAGCGUAGGCGGUAAUGCAAGUCUGGAGGGAAAGGCGGGGGCCCAACCCCCGGACGGCUCUGGAUACUGUGUAACUGGAGUGCAGGAGAGGCAGGCGGAAUUCGUGGUGUAGCGGUGAAAUGCGUAGAUAGUAGGAGGAACACCAGUGGCGAAGGCGGCCUGCUGGACUGUAACUGACGUUGAGGCACGAAGGCGUGGGGAGCGAACAGGAUUAGAUACCCCAGUAGUC
rnacentral:rRNA from 1 species